rnacentral:rRNA from 1 species
AAGCGGCAAGAGCUCAAAUUUGAAAGCUGGCUCCUUCGGGGUCCGCAUUGUAAUUUGCAGAGGAUGCUUCGGGAGCGGUCCCCAUCUAAGUGCCCUGGAACGGGACGUCAUAGAGGGUGAGAAUCCCGUAUGGGAUGGGGUGUCCGCGCCCGUGUGAAGCUCCUUCGACGAGUCGAGUUGUUUGGGAAUGCAGCUCUAAAUGGGUGGUAAAUUUCAUCUAAAGCUAAAUAUUGGCCGGAGACCGAUAGCGCACAAGUAGAGUGAUCGAAAGAUGAAAAGCACUUUGAAAAGAGAGUUAAAAAGCACGUGAAAUUGUUGAAAGGGAAGCGCUUGCGACCAGACUCGCUCGCGGGGUUCAGCCGGCAUUCGUGCCGGUGUACUUCCCCGCGGGCGGGCCAGCGUCGGUUUGGGCGGUCGGUCAAAGGCUCUCGGAAGGUAACGCCCCCUCGGGGGCGUCUUAUAGCCGAGGGUGCAAUGCGACCUGCCUGGACCGAGGAACGCGCUUCGGCUCGGACGCUGGCAUAAUGGUUCGUAAGGCGAACCCGUCUUGAAACACGGACCAAAGGAGUCUAACAUCUACGCGAGUGUUCGGGUGUCAAACCCGUGCGCGCAGUGAAAGCGAACGGAAGGUGGGAACCCUUUUUGGGU